rnacentral:rRNA from 1 species
GACGAACGCUGGCGGCGUGCCUAAUACAUGCAAGUCGAGCGGAAGUUGGAGAGCUUGCUCUUCAACUUUAGCGGCGGACGGGUGAGUAACACGUGGGCAACCUGCCCUGCAGAUCGGGAUAACUCCGGGAAACCGGUGCUAAUACCGAAUAGUUUUCGCCACCUCCUGGUGGCGUACGGAAAGACGGUUUCGGCUGUCACUGCAGGAUGGGCCCGCGGCGCAUUAGCUAGUUGGUGGGGUAACGGCCCACCAAGGCGACGAUGCGUAGCCGACCUGAGAGGGUGAUCGGCCACACUGGGACUGAGACACGGCCCAGACUCCUACGGGAGGCAGCAGUAGGGAAUCUUCCGCAAUGGACGAAAGUCUGACGGAGCAACGCCGCGUGAGUGACGAAGGUUUUCGGAACGUAAAACUCUGUUGUGAGGGAAGAACAAGUACCAACUAACUACUGGUACCUUGACGGUACCUCACCAGAAAGCCACAGCUAACUACGUGCCAGCAGCCGCCGUAACAC